ACGGGAGGCAGCAGUGGGGAAUAUUGCACAAUGGGCGCAAGCCUGAUGCAGCGACGCCGCCUGAGGGAUGACGGCCUUCGGGUUGUAAACCUCUUUCAGUAGGGAAGAAGCGAAAGUGACGGUACCUGCAGAAGAAGCGCCGGCUAACUACGUGCCAGCAGCCGCGGUAAUACGUAGGGCGCAAGCGUUAUCCGGAAUUAUUGGGCGUAAAGAGCUCGUAGGCGGUUUGUCGCGUCUGCCGUGAAAGUCCGGGGCUCAACUCCGGAUCUGCGGUGGGUACGGGCAGACUAGAGUGAUGUAGGGGAGACUGGAAUUCCUGGUGUAGCGGUGAAAUGCGCAGAUAUCAGGAGGAACACCGAUGGCGAAGGCAGGUCUCUGGGCAUUAACUGACGCUGAGGAGCGAAAGCAUGGGGAGCGAACAGGAUUAGAUACCCUGGUAGUCCAUGCCGUAAACGUUGGGCACUAGGUGUGGGGGACAUUCCACGUUUUCCGCGCCGUAGCUAACGCAUUAAGUGCCCCGCCUGGGGAGUACGGCCGCAAGGCUAAAACUCAAAGGAAUUGACGGGGGCCCGCACAAGCGGCGGAGCAUGCGGAUUAAUUCGAUGCAACGCGAAGAACCUUACCAAGGCUUGACAUGAACCGGAAACGCCUGGAAACAGGUGCCCCGCUUGCGGUCGGUUUACAGGUGGUGCAUGGUUGUCGUCAGCUCGUGUCGUGAGAUGUUGGGUUAAGUCCCGCAACGAGCGCAACCCUCGUUCUAUGUUGCCAGCACGUGAUGGUGGGGACUCAUAGGAGACUGCCGGGGUCAACUCGGAGGAAGGUGGGGACGACGUCAAAUCAUCAUGCCCCUUAUGUCUUGGGCUUCACGCAUGCUACAAUGGCCGGUACAAAGGGUUGCGAUACUGUGAGGUGGAGCUAAUCCCAAAAAGCCGGUCUCAGUUCGGAUUGGGGUCUGCAACUCGACCCCAUGAAGUCGGAGUCGCUAGUAAUCGCAGAUCAGCAACGCUGCGGUGAAUACGUUCCCGGGCCUUGUACACACCGCCCGUCAAGUCACGAAAGUUGGUAACACCCGAAGCCGGUGGCCUAACCCCUUGUGGGAGGG
rnacentral:rRNA from 1 species